rnacentral:tRNA from 1 species
GAGGAAGUAGUUUAUGGAGAAUGUAGCUUUGUCAAGGCUGAGGAAUUAGGUUAAUCUUUCUUU